rnacentral:rRNA from 1 species
UGGGGAAUUGUUCGCAAUGGGCGCAAGCCUGACGACGCAACGCCGCGUGGAGGAUGAAGAUCUUCGGGUCGUAAACUCCUUUCGAUCGAGACGAAUUCCUUCGGAGUAAACAAUUCCGGAGGUUGACGGUACCGAGAGAAGAAGCCCCGGCUAACUCCGUGCCAGCAGCCGCGGUAAUACGGGGGGGGCAAGCGUUGUUCGGAAUUACUGGGCGUAAAGGGCUCGUAGGCGGCCAACUAAGUCAGACGUGAAAUCCCUCGGCUUAACCGGGGAACUGCGUCUGAUACUGGAUGGCUGGAGUUUGGGAGAGGGAUGCGGAAUUCCAGGUGUAGCGGUGAAAUGCGUAGAUAUCUGGAGGAACACCGGUGGCGAAGGCGGCAUCCUGGACCAACACUGACGCUGAGGAGCGAAAGCCAGGGGAGCAAACGGGAUUAGAUACCCCGGUAGUCCUGGCCCUAAACGAUGAAUGCUUGGUGUGACGGGUAUCGAUCCCUGUCGUGCCGAAGCUAACGCAUUAAGCAUUCCGCCUGGGGAGUACGGUCGCAAGGCUGA